UGGGGAAUAUUGGACAAUGGGCGAAAGCCUGAUCCAGCAAUGCCGCGUGGGUGAAGAAGGUCUUCGGAUUGUAAAGCCCUUUCGGCGGGGACGAUGAUGACGGUACCCGCAGAAGAAGCCCCGGCUAACUUCGUGCCAGCAGCCGCGGUAAUACGAAGGGGGCUAGCGUUGCUCGGAAUGACUGGGCGUAAAGGGCGCGUAGGCGGCGCACUUAGUCGGGCGUGAAAGUCCUGGGCUCAACCUGGGGACGGCGCUCGAUACGGGUGUGCUUGAGUGUGGAAGAGGGUUGUGGAAUUCCUAGUGUAGAGGUGAAAUUCGUAGAUAUUGGGAAGAACACCGGUGGCGAAGGCGGCAACCUGGUCCAUUACGGACGCUGAGGCGCGAAAGCGUGGGGAGCAAACA
rnacentral:rRNA from 1 species